rnacentral:rRNA from 1 species
GAUGAACGCUGGCGGCGUGCCUAAUACAUGCAAGUCGAGCGAACAGACGAGGAGCUUGCUCCUCUGACGUUAGCGGCGGACGGGUGAGUAACACGUGGAUAACCUACCUAUAAGACUGGGAUAACUUCGGGAAACCGGAGCUAAUACCGGAUAAUAUAUUGAACCGCAUGGUUCAAUAGUGAAAGACGGUUUUGCUGUCACUUAUAGAUGGAUCCGCACCGCAUUAGCUAGUUGGUAAGGUAACGGCUUACCAAGGCGACGAUGCGUAGCCGACCUGAGAGGGUGAUCGGCCACACUGGAACUGAGACACGGUCCAGACUCCUACGGGAGGCAGCAGUAGGGAAUCUUCCGCAAUGGGCGAAAGCCUGACGGAGCAACGCCGCGUGAGUGAUGAAGGUCUUCGGAUCGUAAAACUCUGUUAUUAGGGAAGAACAAAUGUGUAAGUAACUAUGCACGUCUUAACGGUACCUAAUCAGAAAGCCACGGCUAGCUACGUG